rnacentral:rRNA from 1 species
UUGACGGGGCCCGCACAAGCGGUGGAGCAUGUGGUUAAUUCGAAGCAACGCGAAGAACCUUACCAGGUCUUGACACCCCGAUGCUAUUUCUAGAGAUAGAAAGUUACUUCGGUACAUCGGUGACAGGUGGUGCAUGGUUGUCGUCAGCUCGUGUCGUGAGAUGUUGGGUUAAGUCCCGCAACGAGCGCAACCCCUAUUGUUAGUUGCCAUCAUUCAGUUGGGCACUCUAGCGAGACUGCCGGUAAUAAACCGGAGGAAGGUGGGAUGACGUCAAAUCAUCAUGCCCCUUAUGACCUGGGCUACACACGUGCUACAAUGGUUGGUACAACGAGUUGCGAGUCGGUGACGGCGAGCUAAUCUCUUAAAGCCAAUCUCAGUUCGGAUUGUAGGCUGCAACUCGCCUACAUGAAGUCGGAAUCGCUAGUAAUCGCGGAUCAGCACGCCGCGGUGAAUACGUUCCCGGGCCUU